CUGGCGCGUCAGCGCGGCCGGGUUCCCAGGGCGAGGGAGGGAAGGCGCGCUGCGGGCACCCAGCCGCCGGGUGCGGUCCCCCUCGGGCCGCGGUGGUGGGCUCCGCGCGGCUCGGUCCUGUGCCCCGGCCCUCUUCGUGACCACCGCGGCGGGCACCGAGGGACUCGGAGCAAUGAAGUCGGUGACGGUGCCAGGCAGUUUGCAGUUGGGGCUUUUACUGCUGCAGCAGGGGUCUGGCUGGUCGCCCCAUCACGGGGCGCCAGCUCCUCGGAGCCGCGUUUACAGCCGCGUGGUAGAAACCUUGUGGCAGGCUUUCCUAAUGAGCUGGAAGAGGGCGGGUGGGUACACGUCCUCGAGCGACGAUUUCCUCGCCCGACGGUGAGGUUUCUACUGGGAAACUCCAGGUGACCGCACCUCCUCCCGACAGUUCGCCCGCGGGCAGUUUCUAUAUUUUCCAACGUGUUUUUCUCGUUGCUGCAACCAAUGAAAACAAUGCUGAUGUGAACGGCGGGUGUUUCCACGGAAAGGGACCAACUGGACCCAGGGCGGCCUCAGUCGAUCUCCGCACGAAUGAGUGUGAGUGAACCUCUUCCAAGUUCUGGGUGAAUCUCUGGGCUAACAAAGAGGCAGGUCGUCGGCCCUCGCGGAACUCACAACAGCAAGAAAGAGCAUAAUAACGUGCAGACUAAUUUAUGAUCACUAUGGCUUUGGUUGGCCAAGUCGUUUUAGCUCCUAGCAACAAUGUCAUUAACAGUAUAGUGACAGUGAUAGCUGAUGUUCAGGAUGGUUAAUAAGCUUCCGGAUAAUGUAUACAAAGUCCCUGACACCACGAGUGGCACUCAGUAGGCACUCAACAAAUAGCUUAUUUAUAAUGCACUUUUCAUUUGUGCAAGUAAAAGUCUGACUUCUAAUUUAUAGGAAAGGCUCACCUAUGAACUGCUUGGUGUUUUAUAGGAAUUAGUUUCCCCUGUCUUGGCUCUUUUCCCCACAGAAACAUACAGGAAUCAAUCCAACACUUAAAUGCUCCAGCGGUUUCCCCGAUUGGAUCAUCCCAUCGCCAUAAAAUCAUGUUACUUCUCCCAUCUUAAAAACCAAAAACUCUCCUUGAAUCCACUUCCCCCUCCAGCCACUUGCCCCUUUUUUUCUGCUCAGCCACAGCAAAACUCCGUUAGAGUUGUUAAGAAAAGCUGUCUCCAAGUUUUCUCUACCCAUUUAUUCCAAUUGGGCUUUUGCUUCUACUCUGUCCCCUAGAACUCCUCCUGUCAAGGUCAAACUCCUAAACUGGACAUUUUUUCAGGGCUCAUCUCACUCGAACUAUCAGCAGAAAUCAAUGGUGGAACACUUUUUCCUCCUGGAAAACUUUUAUUUGGACUUCCACAACUUUUUCAUGUUUUUUUUUUUUUUCCUACUCCAUUGCUUACUCCUUCGCAGUCUUCUCUGGGAAGAAGAUUGCUUGCUGGUCCCUUCUCUUCUCCUAGUGCCUGAGCAGUAGAGUCCCCAGAGUUCGGACUUUGGAUCUCUUGUCUAUCUACACUCACACCCUUGGUGAUCUCACGACACUAAAGGUCACAUAUGUGGUAAUAACUCCCCAAUUUUAACUCCAGCCUGACCAUCUCUUCUUGAACUGCAGGCUCCAGGCUAUUGCCCAGUUAGAUGCCUACUAGGCUACUCCCACAUAACAUUUCUGACGCUGAAAUCCUGAAAUUCCUCCUUCUGUCUCCCAAUCACCCUGUGCCAAAUGAAGUUUUCCUCAUAUUAGGCCAAAAAGCUUGGUGUCAUCCUUGACUUUCCUGUUUCUCUCACAUUUCAAAUCCAAUCCAUCAGAAAAAAUUUUUUCAGCUCUACUUUUAAAAUAAUCCAAAAUUCAACUACUUAACCACCUCCACUGUUAAUUAACACCCUAAUUUACCAUCACAUCUUGACUUUAUCCUUGCCCUGUUUCUACUUUUGUCCCCAUGAAGGAAGUUUUCAACACACUGCCAGAGCGAUCGUUUUUAAACGUUGAGACAACUCAUAUCACUCCUCUGCUCAAAACCCUGCAAUGGUCCCCAUCUCAAUCACGGCUAAAGCCUAUUAUUUUUAAUGACAGAACGAUCACCUUCUAUCAUAUUAUAAAAUGUAUUUCUCUAUUGUGCUUAUUAUCUGACUCUCCUCACUAGAAUGUAAGUUCUGUGCAGGCAGGGAUUUUUGUCUGCUCCCUCCAGUGAUACAGCCACAGUACUCCUAAAAUGAUGCCUGGCAUGUAGUUGGUGCUCAAAAAUGAAUGGCUUUGACCCAAAGCACUAUGCGUGCAAACAUUUCCUGGCCUCGAACAAUACCAGCAAGACUCCUGACUAGACAGACAUCUCAGAGACAGUCGUUCUCCCUCUAAGGUUCUGAGGAGAAUGUUUACCAACACAGCACACCUAGAAUGGCCAUAGUUAGGGUGACAAUAUUCAUAUCUAAGAAAAUAUAGCUAACAGUUAUUGAGAGCAAUAGUUACUGUAUGUGCCAAGUGUUCGUCCAAAUAUACUACAGUCUCAAUUAGUUUAAUCCUUAUAACAACGCUUUGAGGUCAGUACUGUUACUACUUCCAUUUUAUAAGUGAAAAGGGUGAGGCACAGAGAAUUAAAUGGUCACUCAGCUAAUAAGUUUGUAGAGGCAGAAUUGGACACAGGGCAGCCUGGUUGUAGAGUUCAUGCUCUUCAAUACUCCCCUCCACCUCUUCUCUAAAUAGGAAUGAUAUCAGAGAAAACAUCUGUAUAAUGAGUAAUUCCAAAUCACUAGACCAGAAAAAAAAAUGAUCCUCAUUGACCUUCCUUCACCGUCUUGUUUUAUUUGUUGACAUCUCUGUCUCUUUUACUACAGCCAAGCUCCUUGAAGGCUAGAGGGGUCAUUUUAUUCACAUUUGCGUGAACCACACUCCAAGACUUGAUGCAUGGAAGGGGCUCAAAGAGUAUUCAUUUAAUGUGAUUUUUUUAAAGUGACUAAACUCAGCAAAACAUCUCACUUCCAAUGAGUUAGUAUGGUUUUCAAUAGUUUUCAUAAUGCCACGGCAGCCUGAAGAUAGAAGAGAUCAACAAGGUACAAGGGUUAUAUUAAAUGUGAAAAGCAGACCCCAACAUCUUAAAAUGUAUAGAAGGCGCUCAAAAUUUAACACCUAUUAUUAUUGCAAUAAUUGUUAUUACCAGAAUUUUUUUAUAGUUAUGAUGGUAUUUUUUUAAAUAGAAAGAAAAAAUAAAAAGACAUGAGCUCUUUCCUUCUAUUUUUUCCAUUUCCUGGGUUCUUUAAAACAAAGUCACCUGUUUAAUCACAGAUCCAGCCACACCUACCUCUGUCUGCCAUUCCCUGUUGUCCACCAGGGAUAUUGUGUUGUAAACUACACAGCAGAACUUCCUUCCCUGUUCCCUUCUCUAGGAUCUGUAGUGGUUACAGUACCUGAUGGUACUUUUCUUUAGCCACCCCUCUCAGCUAAGGAAAGGUGAAGUGUUGCACACAGUAAUAUAAUGAAUUAUUUAUGGAUUAUUUUAUUUGGAAUUAGUUUUCCAAAUGGCUGGUUGGGCUUGAUUAGCUCAUGUCCUGAAUCUGUACAUCUUUUCCUCUCUCUGCAGUAAUAACCUAAAAAAUCUUUGAAGCUAUUAACUUGGUCAUUCUCAACUCCAGUCCAAUUUGUGGAACAACUGUUUAUACUAAAGUUAUCUUUAAUAUUAUGCCUAUAAAAAGAAUCAAGAAGUUUUUAUUUGUAGAGUGCAGUGGAAAGAUCAUUGAUUUUGGAGUCAGGGAGAUCUGGGUUAAAACCCUGACUCAGCCCCUUUACCAGUCAGGUAAUUUGAGUGUGUUAUUUACCUUCACUGAGAACCAUACUUCUAUUCUGGAAAAUGGGACUGAUAACACCCAACCCAUAUGUUUAUGAAUUAAUGUGAUAAUGUAGGCACCACUCUUUGCACAGGAGAUAGCACCCAGGGAUUACUCAAAAGUGUAGUUUCUUUUUUUUUUUUUUAUUCUUUUCUUUUUUAAUGAAAAUAGUAUAUAUUUAAGGUAGACAACAUGAGUAUUUUAUGGACAUACACGUAAUGAAAUGAUUGUAACAGUCAAGCUAAUUAACAUACCUUCUCACAGUUAUCUUUUUUAUGUGUAUAAUGAGAACACCUGAUCUCUGCUCUCACCAAAUUUCCACUAUUCAACACAGUAUCAUCAUGCUGUCACAUUAGAGCUCUAGACCUAUUUAAUCCUUUAACUGCGACUUUGUAUCCUUUGACAAACAUCAUCCCAUCCCCCACCCCCAGCCCUGCCUCCUUGCCCCUGGUAACCACCUUUCGACACCUACCUUCUAUGUGUUGUAAUCCGCUUUUUUAGGUUCCACAUGUAAGUGAGAUCAUGCAGUUUUUUUCUUUCUGUGCCUGGCUUUCACUUAGCAUAACGUCCUCAUCAAACAAGUAGUUUCCAACCACACUUGCCUUUUUCUGGAACUGUUAUUAAUGACAUCAACCAUUGUGUUGUACUGCCUUAUAGACGUUGAGUUCCACUUCAUAAACUCCUUUUAGAAUUUAGUGCUAGGGACUUCCCUGGUGGUGCAGUGGUUAAGAAUCCGCCUGCCAAUGCAGGGGACACGGGUUCGAGCUCUGGUCCAGGAAGAUCCCACAUGCCACGGAGCAGCUAAACCUGCGAGCCACAACUACUGAGCCCGUGUGCUACAACUACUGAAGUCUGCACACCUAGAGCCCGUGCUCCGCAACCAGAGAAGCCACUGCAAUGAGAAGCCUGUGCACCUCAACGAAGGGUAGCCCCCGUUUGCCACAACUAGAGAAAGUCUGCACAACAACAAAGACCCAACGCAGCCAAAAAUAAAAAAAUAUAUAUAAUAAAAUUUUUAAAGUUAAAAAAAAAAAAAAAAGAAUUUAGUGCUAGGAUAAAUUUUCUCUCAAAUCCAAGUACUUUCAUUUCUUAGAAAAGGUAUCUUCAUCUGUUUUCACAUUGGAUUUGCAAUCAUUGUUAAGGAAAACUGUGUAAACCAAUAUUUACCUUUGUAUCCUGUUCGUAAGGAAGCACAGUGUCAAAUUUACUAUUAAAUUACUGUACUAUUAUAAAUUAUAA